AAUACGAUUCCCUGGUUGCUAACCAAACUUUGAACAAUUGAUGAACGAGUAUGUCGGUGACGCGAUCUCAUAAGAUUUUCUCCCACCAAAAAGUGCCCAACGCAGCUAAAGAAGUUUUCACUUCAAUUAGGACUAAAGAAUAUUUAUUUGAAUACUGAUAAGCCAUAUAUAGAUGAACAUCUGUUUAGUUCUUCAGGCAUUGAUAUCUAAAAUAAAAGAAAACAGAUACAAUCUAUCUGAAAACAGCAAAAAUAAAAAUGUAAUUAAAGCAUUCCAUUUUUAACAUUA